ACCCCAGAAUCUCAGGGGAGGACAAUGGUAUCAGUAUUUUUUAAAAGAGUCUGGUAUGCAGUCAGGAUCAAAAACCCCAGCGUCAUACUGUUUCUGUUCCUAUAGUGUAUUCCUUUAAAUUCUCAUCCAUCAUACUAAAGUUAAUAGUUUUUUAUCAGACAGACUGAAACAGUUGUAGCAGUCAAGGUAGAAUGAGAGUGAGAACAUAUAAGGGACUUAUUAUGGGGAUUUAACCUUACGUAGUUGUGAUUGCAGGUGAAAAAAUCUGCUGCCCUACAUCUGGUGUAUGGCCUGAAGUCAUGAUAAGUUCGCCAGAUCCACAGCUGGGAAGAAAAGCUGAACAAGAACAGGAGCAGGGACAAACCGGAAACUGCUAGAAAACAAACCGAGAGCUUGCAUCUGUCUCUCAUCACUCGGCCUUGGAUGACUCCGACGAUGCCUGCAGGUGUAACCGGCACUCCUGGCUACAGAACUGCACGGAUCAUUGGCUCAGGACUGGAGGACAUGUGGCAGGACCUGGAGGAGCCACAGGCUGGUUGCUGCCCCUCACCAGCAGGAGAGCCCGGGGCUCAGCAACAUGCAUGAGGUACCACAGUGCUUGGCACCCCUGCUGAUCUGCCGUGAAAAAACCGUGACCACUGCUUCCCUCGUGAGGUCCAGAUCUGAAGGGCAUUUCUGUUGUGGUCAAGAUUGCCUUGUGAUCUGAACACUAACUACCUGGAGUUGGGCCAAAUGUCACACUCCAGGGCUUACCCCGGUAGAUGCUGCCCUCACUUCAGACACCAGCUGCAAGAUGGAAAAAUUAAAGCUGUUUCCUUAUCUGCAAAGAAAGAACUCUAAACCAAAAAUGAACCAUCUUAUUCUUAGAUGUGAUAAAGGGAAAAGGCAAAAGAUUUAUCAUCCUUUAUCCCCCAGACCACUAGAUGGAAGUAAAUAGCAGUUAUCAGUACUUAUCAGCAGUAAACCUGACGUCAACAUUUCUCAAGACUAAGUUCCACAAAGCAGUUGAAAGGAAGAGAUAUUACCAACAACUGGUAAGUAUUCAUGAGGUACCUACUGCCUAUUUAAAAAUGUUUUAUGAAUUCUAGGACAGAAAUAGUUUCAUUACUUUAGAGACUAUUGACUAGUACUACUACCAUUAUUAUAUGGCUCUGUGUGACUCCUAUGAAAGUACAAAAAUAAAUGUGUUUGGAAAUUAAAGUCUAGUUUAGUAGGAUGGAGAUAAAGCAUAUCAGGUUAAGUUCACUAGAGCACAAUUUUAACAGUGUUAGUUUUAUGAACUUGCUGUCAUGAUCAACAGGAGGAACCAGGGCCUCUCCUAAGAGGGAGUAGUAGUAAAGGGCAUUUUAAAAGGUAGCAUUUGGAAUGGUUCUAAAGAGGAACCAGGGAGAGUGGGGAUCACCUCUGGAUUGAUUAUCAUAGUAAUCUUUGCCUAGGAAGUGAGAGAGCAAAGCAGGUCUGGGGAAGUUAUGGUAAGA